rnacentral:rRNA from 1 species
GAUGAACGCUGGCGGCGUGCCUGAUACAUGCAAGUCGAGCGAACAGACGAGGAGCUUGCUCCUCUGACGUUAGCGGCGGACGGGUGAGUAACACGUGGAUAACCUACCUAUAAGACUGGGAUAACUUCGGGAAACCGGAGCUAAUACCGGAUAAUAUAUUGAACCGCAUGGUUCAAUAGUGAAAGACGGUUUUGCUGUCACUUAUAGAUGGAUCCGCGCCGCAUUAGCUAGUUGGUAAGGUAACGGCUUACCAAGGCAACGAUGCGUAGCCGACCUGAGAGGGUGAUCGGCCACACUGGAACUGAGACACGGUCCAGACUCCUACGGGAGGCAGCAGUAGGGAAUCUUCCGCAAUGGGCGAAAGCCUGACGGAGCAGCGCCGCGUGAGUGAUGAAGGUCUUCGGAUCGUAAAACUCUGUUAUUAGGGAAGAACAAAUGUGUAAGUAACUAUGCACGUCUUGACGGUACCUAAUCAGAAAGCCACGGCUAACUACGUG